rnacentral:rRNA from 1 species
AAUUAAAUAAUUAUUAAAAUUUGAAGUUUAAAUAAUUUUAAAAAAAUUAAUUUUGUUUUUAUUAAUUUGUAUAAAAAAAAUAUUUUUAUUAUAGUUUAUUAGUAUUGAGAAAGAAAUUUUUGAAUUAGUAUAAAGAAAAAUUAUUUUUUUGUACCUUGAGUAUCAGGGUUAAUUAAAUAAAAUUUAUUUAAUUUAAAUUUCUCGAAUUUAAAAGAUCUAUUUAUAUAUAUUUGUUAUUGUUGAAUAAAUAAAUUUAAUAUAUUUAUAGAAAUGAAAUGUUUUUCGUUUUUAAGUAUAUCUAGUUUUUUAAGAAAAAAUUUUAAUUUUAUUUUUAAUUUAUUAUAAAAUUAAAGUAUUUAAUUUUAUAAUAUUAAAAUUUUAUAAUUUAAGGGAUGAGCUUUAAAUUAGAUUAAUAUAUUUGUAUACAAAUUUUAUUUAAUUAAUAGGAUUAUAAGUUUCUAUUUAUAGUGUGUUUUGACUAAUUAAAUAAUAAAUUGGAUUUAUAUAAAAUUUAUUUGAAUUUAUUAAAAUAAAAUUUUUAAUUUAAAAUAGUUUGUAAUAAUGAUUAAAUUAGUAUAUUUAAAAUUUAAGUUAUGAGUCAAUAUAAAGGUAUAGUAAAGGAAUUCGGCAAAUAUAAAUUUUCACCUGUUUAUUAAAAACAUGUCCUUUUGAUUAUAAUUUAAGGUCGGGCCUGCUCAAUGAGUAUUAAAUGGCUGCGGUAAUUUGACCGUACAAAGGUAGCAUAAUCAUUAGUUUCUUAAUUAGAAGCUGGAAUGAAUGGUUUGAUGAAAAAAUAACUGUCUCUAUUAUAAUUAUAUAGAAUUUUAUUUUUAAGUAAAAAAGCUUAAAUAUAUAUUGAAGACGAGAAGACCCUAUAGAGUUUUAUAAUUAUGUAUAAUAAAGUAUUUAGUAUUUAUAAAUUUAUUAAGUAUAAUUAUUUAAUUGGGGUGAUUGAAAAAUUUAAAUAACUUUUUUUUAAUAAAAUCAUUUAUUUAUGAGUAUAAGAUCCUUAUUUUAAGAUAAUAAGAAAAAAUUACCUUAGGGAUAACAGCGUAAUUUUUUUUAAGAGUUCAAAUCUAAAAAAAAGUUUGCGACCUCGAUGUUGGAUUAAAAUUUAUUUUUGGUGUAGAAGCUAAGAUAUUAGGUCUGUUCGACCUUUAAAAUUUUACAUGAUCUGAGUUUAGACCGGUGUGAGCCAGGUUGGUUUCUAUCUCGAUAAAUUUUAUAAGUUUUAGUACGAAAGGACCAAAUUUUUAAUUUAUAAUUUUUAUAAGAAUAAGAAUAAUUU